AUUGAUGUUGGACGGGGAACAAACCACACCAGCGAUAUCAGUCGUAAGCAGACUGGGGGUAAGUAGAUGUAACACUGCACAUAUCGGUGGCGAAGCUAGUGCCGAUUCUACGAACGACUGGCGGGU
rnacentral:ncRNA from 1 species